GGUAAAUAAAAAACCCACCAGCAGCUCUCUCAAAACUCCCACUGAUAAUCUCAAAUUCGACCCCCUCUUUCAAACUCCUUCAAUUUUACUACUUAAAGAGUGUUUAUAGUAAGAAAUUUGGAAUGUAUUUAACCUCGUCUUCCUCAUCGUCUUUAGUUGAAGCAACCCUGCUAAAAUUCGCCCCUCUCUCAAAUCUCUCUCGUCCAAAUCUUAAAUCCGUCAUCUUUUUUAUUCCAAGUAAUCAAAUUACUUGGGGAUUUUACCACAUUAUCCCGAUGAAAAUUUCAGGAAAAAAACUCUCGGUUGGGAUAUGGAGCAAUUCAAUUUCAGUUAAAGCUAUCCAUAAAAAGAUAAGUCAGUUUUAGACGGUUAGUCGGUGGACAAACAAAUGGAUAAGAAAAUUGAAAAGCAUGGGAUUCCAACAGUAGCAUUAAUUAUAUUUGUCCCCAACACCUCUUUAUCUUCACAACUAGUUCAAGUUUUUUGAAUUGGAAUAGAUAAGUGACGUUUGGUUUUGAUUGGACAAGUGAAUCAAACUAGAACGGCAUAUGUGGAGACUGAAAUUUCUUAGGAAUUUUAUGAGAAGAUUUGUGUUUCAGUUAGGAUUAUUAGAACCUAUUCUAUUCAAAAGAUUUAAAUUAUGCGAUAACAUAUU